GAUUAACGCUGGCGGCGUGCAUAACACAUGCAAGUCGAACGAUGAAACUGAGUAGACUUCUUCGGAAAGACACUAAGCGGAUUAGUGGCGAACGGGUGAGUAACGCGUGAGUAACCUGCCUUACACAAGGGGAUAGCCUUUGGAAACGAAGAAUAAUACCCUAUAAAACCAUAAAAGCACAUGCUAGAAUGGUCAAAGUGAUAGCGGUGUAAGAUGGACUUGCGUCUGAUUAGCUAGUUGGUGAGAUAAAAGCUCACAAAGGCAACGAUCAGUAGCCGGCUUGAGAGAGUGUACGGCCACAUUGGGACUGAGACACGGCCCAGACUCCUACGGGAGGCAGCAGUGGGGAAUUAGGCACAAUGGGGGAAACCCUGAGGCAGCGACGCCGCGUGAUUUAGAAGGCCUUCGGGUUGUAAAAAUCUUUUGUAUAGGAAGAAAAUGACAGUACUAUACGAAUAAGGACCGGCUAAUUACGUG
rnacentral:rRNA from 1 species